UGGGGAAUAUUGCACAAUGGGCGCAAGCCUGAUGCAGCCAUGCCGCGUGUGUGAAGAAGGCCUUCGGGUUGUAAAGCACUUUCAGCGAGGAGGAAGGUGGUGAGCUUAAUACGCUCAUCAAUUGACGUUACUCGCAGAAGAAGCACCGGCUAACUCCGUGCCAGCAGCCGCGGUAAUACGGAGGGUGCAAGCGUUAAUCGGAAUUACUGGGCGUAAAGCGCACGCAGGCGGUUUGUUAAGUCAGAUGUGAAAUCCCCGGCUCAA
rnacentral:rRNA from 1 species